UACGAAGGGGGCUAGCGUUGCUCGGAAUCACUGGGCGUAAAGGGUGCGUAGGCGGGUUCUUAAGUCAGAGGUGAAAUCCUGGAGCUCAACUCCAGAACUGCCUUUGAUACUGAGAGUCUUGAGUACGGGAGAGGUGAGUGGAACUGCGAGUGUAGAGGUGAAAUUCGUAGAUAUUCGCAAAGAACACCAGUGGCGAAGGCGGCUCACUGGCCCGUUACUGACGCUGAGGCACGAAAGCGUGGGG
rnacentral:rRNA from 1 species